UACGUAGGGGGCUAGCGUUGUCCGGAAUCAUUGGGCGUAAAGCGCGUGUAGGCGGCCCGGUAAGUCCGCUGUGAAAGUCGAGGGCUCAACCCUCGAAUGCCGGUGGAUACUGUCGGGCUAGAGUCCGGAGGAGGCGAGUGGAAUUCCUGGUGUAGCGGUGAAAUGCGCAGAUAUCAGGAGGAACACCAAUGGCGAAGGCAGCUCGCUGGGACGGUACUGACGCUGAGACGCGAAAGCGUGGGGAGCAAACAGG
rnacentral:rRNA from 1 species